rnacentral:rRNA from 1 species
GACGGAGGGUGCUAGCGUUGUUCGGAAUCACUGGGCGUAAAGGGCGCGUAGGCGGCCUUGCAAGUCGGUUGGUGAAAGCCCGGGGCUCAACCCCGGAGGUGCGGCCGAGACUGCAGGGCUGGAGGCCGGAAGAGGAGGGUGGAAUACCCAGUGUAGAGGUGAAAUUCGUAGAUAUUGGGAAGAACACCGAUGGCGAAGGCAGCCAUCUGGACCGACACUGACGCUGAGGCGCGAAAGCGUGGGGAGCAAACAGG